GGGACAGGAGCCUUUCAGCAUCUUCAGGACCUCCUUGGGCUGAGCAAGUUCAGCAGAGGCCACAGUCAGGGCAUGUGAAAAGUGAGGGUGUCUGGUUCUCUGAGGCUCACAUCACGUCCUUCUUCCUUUCCAAGGGAAGAAACAGGAACAGGGAAAGUGAUGAACAAAGCACACAGUGACACCAGUCAGGCAGUAGGUGAUAAAGGAGAGCAGUGGGGAGCUCAGAGCUAUCCAGCUUCUAAUUGAGGACUCCACUGCGAGCUGAGCGGGAACAGCCCCUUGCCAUGAGCGAGGCCCCAGAGGCACGGAAUGCUCCCGGGGCCGAUGGCUGAGGGAGCCUCGGCGGCUGCUGCUGGAGGAGCGAGAAACGCCCAAGGAGCAUUUCAGGCGCUGCAAGGACAGGGCAUUGCUCUGCCUGCUCCCGCCGCUGCUGCCUUUGCCCCCGCCCAGAGUCGCUCCCGGCAGCUCCGUUCUCUCGGGGUGCCGCGCGCUUUCGGACUCUUCCUCACUCAGCAAACACGCAGCUCGCUCUCGGCAUGCACCUCGCCUGUCUCAUCCUCAGCGUCCUGCUGGCCCAGCUCCUGGGUACCUCGGGGCAGGACACGGUCACCCAGGAUGAUGGAACCGUCACGGUGAAGCAGGGACACCCCUUCCACACCACCUGCAAAUACCAGAGCAGUAAUUUUUAUGCUUUGCUCUGGUACAAGCUGCAGAAAGGCCAAGCCCCACAGCUGCUCUCCUAUCAAGCAGGGUCUGGCCGCAAGCACAGUGGCCGGAUCACCACGUACCUGAACACCACGGGCAAAUCCAGUGUCCUGCAGCUGGAGGAAGUGGAGCUCUCUGACAGUGCCUUGUACCUCUGUGCUCUGCAAGACACCCUGGUGCAGGGAGCUGCCUCGGCUGUGCAAGAACCCAGGGCAAGGCUGAGCUUGGGGAAGGGACCCUGAUCUCAGCCCUAAUGCUCUCAAGAAUUUGCAUUCAGCAUGUGUCUGGUGGAUUUGUCUAUGUCCAUACAUACGUACAUAUGGACAUAUGUCCAUACACAAAAUGUCCCUAGUGGACAUUUUUUUGGACUAUUUUGACUCAUUUCCACAUUGGGCAGUCCCUAAUAAAAAAAAGUAUCCCCUGUGUUUUCCUGGAAUCUUAUCCUUCCACACUCCAGCCCUGCUGCUUUUGGCCCCACAUGUCCUCAGCAGAGCCCAGGGCUGGUUGUGUGUUCCUGCCUUGUGAGCUCUCGGAGCAGCCCCGUUUGCACGGACACACGGCAAGCACGGAUUUGUCUGUGGCUCCACCGUGCUGAGCUCGGCCCUGGCUGUGUCCGUGUGUGUCCCUCACCGGGAGGGAAUUUUCUGCCUCUGCCAGGCCCCGAGCACCGCUGUGGCCCUGCAGAGCACAGAGCAGCAGCUUCCCAGGCUCCCACAGAGCCUGAGCGCAGCCGAGCGGGGCCGGCACUGCCCGCUGCAGAUGGCUGCAGGGUGGAUCUGCUUCCCACGCGGUGUGGCUGCUGUGUGCGAUGGGACACAGCUGUCUCUUGUCGCUGGCCGUGCCAAACGUCCUGGUGUCGCUGCUGAAGGUGCUGGUGCGGGGAG